rnacentral:rRNA from 1 species
UGCCAAUCUCACAAACGGAGGAAAAGAAACCAACCGGGAUUGCCUUAGUAACGGCGAGUGAAGCGGCAAAAGCUCAAAUUUGAAAUCUGGUACCUUCGGUGCCCGAGUUGUAAUUUGGAGAGGGCAACUUUGGGGCCGUUCCUUGUCUAUGUUCCUUGGAACAGGACGUCAUAGAGGGUGAGAAUCCCGUGUGGCGAGGAGUGCGGUUCUUUGUAAAGUGCCUUCGAAGAGUCGAGUUGUUUGGGAAUGCAGCUCUAAGUGGGUGGUAAAUUCCAUCUAAAGCUAAAUAUUGGCGAGAGACCGAUAGCGAACAAGUACAGUGAUGGAAAGAUGAAAAGAACUUUGAAAAGAGAGUGAAAAAGUACGUGAAAUUGUUGAAAGGGAAGGGCAUUUGAUCAGACAUGGUGUUUUGUGCCCUCUGCUCCUUGUGGGUAGGGGAAUCUCGCAUUUCACUGGGCCAGCAUCAGUUUUGGUGGCAGGAUAAAUCCAUAGGAAUGUAGCUUGCCUCGGUAAGUAUUAUAGCCUGUGGGAAUACUGCCAGCUGGGACUGAGGACUGCGACGUAAGUCAAGGAUGCUGGCAUAAUGGUUAUAUGCCGCCCGUCUUAACAACCCGGACCA